UGUGUGCAAAGAAGGGGGAAAAACAGCAAUGCGGAGAGAAAACAGUGAAUCAAGCUGCAAACCAACAAUAAUUCACACAACGCAGCAGAUUGUGCCUUCUGUUGUGACAGGAGCUUCGAGGAGGUGCUUAGCAGAGGUCAAACAGGCCACCAGCUUCUGACGAGAGGCGCUGCGUGCAAAGAAGAACUCAUGGGACAUCCCUGCCAGUAUAGCCCCGAGCACCGGCCCGAUCCAGUAAACCUGCAGUGGUCUUCCCAGAAGCCUGUGAUGAUGGCUGGACCCAGCGAGCGGGCGGGAUUCAUACUCGCGCCAGAGAACCGAGCCUGAAGAAAAACAACAUCACAAUAAGGCUUUUUG